AUGCCAUGGAGGCCAAGGACCAGAGGGGAAACCCUUCUCCCAUCUAGGGAGGAGUCAAGGAAGAAGAGGAAGAAGGGGCCCCUCUCCCCCUCUCCUCCGGUGGCGCCGGAACACCGCCGUGGCCAUCAUCAUCAUCAUCAUCAUCACCGCGAUCUUCACCAACACCUCCGCCAUCUUCACCAACAUAUCCAUCACCUUCCCCCCUCUAUCUACAGUGGUCCACUCUCCCGCAACCCGUUGUACCCUCUACUUGAACAUGGUGCUUUAUGCUUCAUAUUAUUAUCCAAUGAUGUGUUGCCACCCUAUGAUGUCUGA
rnacentral:rRNA from 1 species